UACGUAGGGGGCAAGCGUUGUCCGGAAUCAUUGGGCGUAAAGAGCGCGUAGGCGGUCCGGUAAGUCCGCUGUGAAAGUCAAGGGCUCAACCCUUGAAUGCCGGUGGAUACUGUCGGGCUAGAGUCCGGAAGAGGCGAGUGGAAUUCCUGGUGUAGCGGUGAAAUGCGCAGAUAUCAGGAGGAACACCAAUGGCGAAGGCAGCUCGCUGGGACGGUACUGACGCUGAGGAGCGAAAGCGUGGGUAGCAAACAGG
rnacentral:rRNA from 1 species